AAACGAAUCGUUGGAAUAUUCCCGAAGCUAACGAAGCAUUUCCCAAAAGUUAAUAUUCCCAAAAGUUAAACCGAAGAAAUUAACGCGAAUAGUAAAAUUUCGAAAUUGUACGAAGGCCACGUGACCAGAUCGUAUUGGAAUUUGAAGUGCAUGGAAAAAGACAACUCGAAGUACAAACCUUGAGCUGACGCCACGUGAACUAAUGGAUGCAGAAAAGCAAUUAAC